UCACUAUUUUCCGCUUUAUUCUUUUCCUAUCACUCCUGUGUCAUUUCAUUUAAUUAAUAAUGCUUUGGUCUCUUCUUCUUAGCUCGAUCUUCAAGUCAAUAGUAAUGUCAUCGAGGAUCAGUUUUUGUGGGUGAGUCUGCGCCUUUGCUUUCUCGGGUUUCUUUUCAUUGUUUUCUUAUAUGCUGCGCCUUCUUUUGUGAGAUUUCAAGACUGGAACAAUUAUGAGAGUGACCCGGAAGAUUUUGCAAGAACCUUUUGUCAAGAUUUGGCUUUUCAAGACCCUGAAGUUGGGUUUGUUUUUUGCAGCCUGUAGUUGCCUUUGCAAUCAGGGAACAGCUUUUUGAGAUUGCAAUUCAUAGUGUAGCUUCUGCUAGAGAAAUUAAAAUGAACAAGAAAGGUCGUGGGGGGGGUUGGGGUGUGGUGGGAGCGCUUGAGCAUGUCCCAACUAGUGAAGCAGGUGGAAAUGUAUUGGACUGUAUGAAGUUAUUCAGAUGUAAUUCUAGCGUGGUUAGGAAAAGAAAGGAGUGGGAUGUAUUUGAGCCGGUUGUUGAUAUUUUAUCAAAUGAGGAGGUGGAUGCCCUUGAAGCCAGAGAGUAAACACCCGCUGAGCUGACACAACAAAAUCAGAAAAAAGAGAGGUUGGGAAGAGAACUAAUUGAUUCAGAGUUAACUCUGAGAUGUUUGUUGUAGUAUGAUGGGAAUCCUAUACUUUUUCUUAGGACAGAGUGUUUGAAACUGUUAAUCCAGGGGUCUGAUUUGGGAAAUUCAGCUUCUUUGCCAUCUUGUGUUUUCUUUUUAAUCUUGCAAUUUCUCUACUCUGUAGAAGCAGAGCAGUGUUGGGCAGCAAAGGUUGUGCGGUGUGCUUUGCAGUGCCUGUCACAUGAUUGAGAGUAUGUAUACACAAUGAGUUCAACAAAAUUGGUUAUUGAUGACAAAUAUUGAUUUUAA